rnacentral:piRNA from 1 species
GGGUCACAAUUGGCAGAGGGGCGG